ACUGUUUGAAACUUAACCAACCUGGGGAAUUCGUGCGCUAGUAUAAAAUAGGGAGCCCAGCUCAGAAGCUCAAUGUCAAUUAUCACUUUUUCAAACGCAUUUUUACCCACUUUUGAGAAAAAGGAACGCACUUAAUCAAUGGCCAUCAAAGUUUACAUUGUGUACUAUUCCAUGUAUGGACAUGUAGAGAAACUAGCAGAAGAGAUAAAGAAAGGGGCUGCAUCUGUUGAAGGGGUUGAAGC